UACGUAGGGGGCAAGCGUUGUCCGGAAUCAUUGGGCGUAAAGCGCGUGUAGGCGGUUACGUAAGUCUGCUGUGAAAGUCGGAGGCUCAACCUUCGAAAGCCGGUGGAUACUGCGUGACUUGAGUACGGAAGAGGAGAGUGGAAUUCCUGGUGUAGCGGUGAAAUGCGCAGAUAUCAGGAGGAACACCAACGGCGAAGGCAGCUCUCUGGGACGUUACUGACGCUGAGACGCGAAAGCGUGGGGAGCAAACAGG
rnacentral:rRNA from 1 species